CUACGUAUGAGCUAUAACUCCGCUGCUGCGCAUCGUACUGACCAACUUGGUGCGCGUGUAAUCAGUGCUAAUAUAUUCGUUUCGUCGUAAUACAACAAAGUGCGCGUCAGAAGUGUCAUUAAUAUCGGGAGUGCCGUUUAAAUUGUCGCGCGAUUUUUGCAUUCGGGUACGUGCGCGCGAGCAUUGCGUGCACCGCGAACGCGUGUGAGUGUCUCGAAGAACCACUGAGAGGAGGCCUAGGAGGCCUAGGAGGCAUCGGGCGACAACAGAGCAACAAUAUGGAUUCUGUUGUUGCAAUUCGGUGGCGGAGUGUUCACAAGUGCGCAAUGCAUCAUUGCAUGCGGACACACAAGGACGUGACAGGCUUUGCAUUUCGUUAUUUCAGGUAUAUUUCCCACGUACUUAUACACAUAUAAAUAUAUACAGAGCGAUAACUCUGAAUUCCACGUCGAAACUAACAAACAGAAUGCUGAAUGUUUGAUACACUUUUAAUUUUAAUUUUCGAAAAAAAAAAAAAUUAAUUGCAAAAACAUUUUCGCUUCACA